CUGACUUAUUCUGGCAAGUUUCUCCAGCUCUACAAGAACUUCUAGUGCUCUGGGCAGCUGCGAGGGGUCAAGAAACCACAUCCCCAAAUCCAGCGGGAUCUCAGAGAGAAAGGCUGAUGGGAAGCUGCCCAGGGCUGACCUGGCACAUGCUGGGAAAACCCCUCGGUGCCAGGGCAGGAGGCAGAGCGUCUGCAGCUCCUCCCUCCCCAACACAGGGGGUAAGGAAUACAGCAGAACGGGAAUCGGGCGCCUUCAUGCUGCUGUUACCGCCCUUGGUUCAUGGCUUCUUUCACUUGGAAACCCCAGGAGCUAAGUUCCUGUUGACGAGGCGGCCCAGCUCCCCAGGCGUGGCUGUGUUCCGGAUAUCCACAUCGUGGGGCGACACAUAAAGCUUUGUGUCAUUCAAGUCAAAGAACUCGACUUCUGUGAGACCCACCCACCACGAGUUGCCCCAGUUGGACAGGAUCUCCAUGGUCACGUAGAUGGCAUCUUUGAUCUCGUCUGCCCUCAUUCUCUGUUUGUCCUUAAAGAAGAGAAAAAUAACACCAAAGGAUUAAGUCAUGACAGGCUUGAAUUCGGCUCUGCCUCUGCCACCACUGCCUUCAAAAAGUUAGUUAACCUUCAGGGUCUCAGUCUCUCCAUCUGUACAAUGAGGAUAAGAAUAGCACCCACUACCUAUGGUUAUUACAAUGAUUAAAUGAAUUCAUACUGUAAAGCAUUCAAAAUAGAGGCCCUGUG
rnacentral:lncRNA from 1 species